GUCUCGACUUGUUAAUAUUGAGCAGCGCAUUAUUUAUGGCAAACUUUCCACCAAAACACUUUCAAUUGAGAUGGCAGGGAAAGGGGCUAGAGAGACGGUGGUGGCAGUUCACUCGAGUUGUUAUCCCAUCCCUCAGCGGUUCCGCCACCACCUGCCAUUUUCUCACUUGCAUCGAAUGCAGUGAAAAAGUUUUUCGCAGCAUCUUCUCACAACCAAUAACUUAAAGUCCUGGCAGGUAGCCCUAGAGAGUGAAGGGGAACCGUGGAGUGGAGUGGAGUCGAGUCGAGUCCCAUGUCCGUGGCCACAGGAACCAACCAUAACUGAAAAACAAACAUGGUACCCAGCAGAGUCCCCCAAGGCCUGGCCAGGAUAACAAGGAAAAAGCAGGGGCAGGUGUUUGCAAAGUAAGCAGAUGUUUGGAUACCCUUUGAAGGAAGCUUUAGAAACUUCCUUUGGAAUGGGAAGACGCAGAAGAAGGCGCUUUGUUUUCGCUGAUCUUUGAGUUGCUUAGCUGCUGUAACCGUCUUUCAUCUCUCAGUGAAGCGAACCUCUGCAGAUGUUAGUGUACAUCCAACCAGCUACGCACUACAGCGCUUUCAGUCCCUCUUCUGGGGCUUCGCUUGCCCCACAGCUAGUUGCUGCCCCAAAACCGCAUCAUAACAAUAGCAGCAGCAGGAGGAGCUGCAGCAGCAGCAGCAAC